UCAAGUUAUUAAGGGUGCAGGGCGGAUGCCUUGGCACUAGGAGCCGAUGAAGGACGUGAUAAGCUGCGAUAAGCUUCGGGGAGUUGCACGUAAACUUUGAUCCGAAGAUUUCCGAAUGAGGAAACUCACUUAGAGUAAUGUCUAAGUAUCAUUAAGUGAAUACAUAGCUUAAUGAGGGGAACUCAGGGAACUGAAACAUCUAAGUACCUGAAGGAAGAGAAAGAAAUUCGAUUCCGUAAGUAGCGGCGAGCGAACGCGGAUUAGCCCAAACCAAUAAAGUUUUCUUUAUUGGGGUUGCGGACAUAUCAUAACGAAGAGGUAUCGUAAUUGAAGAGGUUUGGAAAGACCCACCACAGAAGGUAAUAGUCCUGUAUGUUAAACGAGAAGACUUCAGAUAUGAUCCAGAGUACCACGGGACACGUGAAACCCUGUGGGAAGCAGGAGGGACCACCCUCCAAGGCUAAAUACUACCUAGUGACCGAUAGCGUAUAGUACCGUGAGGGAAAGGUGAAAAGAACCCCGGGAGGGGAGUGAAAUAGAACCUGAAACCCUGCACUUACAAGCUGUGGAAGCACAUUUCUUGUGUGACCGCGUACUUUUUGUAGAACGGGCCAACGAGUUACGUUAAGUAGCAAGGUUAAGCACUUAAGGUGCGGAGCCGUAGCGAAAGCGAGUUUUAACUGAGCGUUCAGUUACUUGACGUAGACCCGAAACCGGGCGACCUACCCAUGAGCAGGAUGAAGCGAAAGUAAAAUUUCGUGGAGGUCCGAACCCACGAGCGUUGAAAAGCUCGGGGAUGACUUGUGGGUAGCGGUGAAAUUCCAAUCGAGCCCGGAGAUAGCUGGUUCUCCCCGAAAUAGCUUUAGGGCUAGCCUCAAGGUGAGAGAUACGGAGGUAGAGCACUGAAUGUCCUAGGGGGUAUUGCACCUACCGAAGACUAUCAAACUCCGAAUGCCGUCAUCUUAUACUUGGGAGUCAGACUGUGGGUGAUAAGAUUCAUAGUCGAAAGGGCAACAGCCCAGAUCGUCAGCUAAGGUCCCUAAAUGUAAGUUAAGUGGUAAAGGAUGUGGGAUUGCACAGACAACCAGGAUGUUGGCUUAGAAGCAGCCACUCAUUCAAAGAGUGCGUAAUAGCUCACUGGUCGAGUGAUCCUGCGCCGAAGAUUUCCGGGGCUAAAACUUACUACCGAAGCUACGGCAUCAGUAAUGAUGGGUAGGGGAGCUUCCCAUACGGGUUGAAGCAUGACCGUAAGGACAUGUGGACAGUAUGGGAGUGAGAAUGUUGGCAUGAGUAGCGAGAUGUGGGUGAGAAUCCCACAGGCCGUAAACCCAAGGUUUCCAGGGGAAGGUUCGUCCGCCCUGGGUUAGUCGGGACCUAAGCUGAGGCCGAAAGGCGUAGGUGAUGGACAACAGGUUGAUAUUCCUGUACUACCGAUAACCGUUUGAGAGAAGGGAUGACACAGUAGGAUAAGCUAAGCACACUGUUGGUUAUGUGUGCCCAAGCAUUGAGGCAGUCAAAGUAGGCAAAUCCGCUUUGAUAAUGCUGGGAUGUGAUGGGGAGCGAAAUUUAGUAGCGAAGUAGCUGAUUUCACACUGUCAAGAAAAGUCUCUAUCGAGGUUAAAGGUACCCGUACCGCAAACCGACACAGGUGGGUGAGGAGAGUAUCCUAAGGCCAGCGAGAGAACUGUUGUUAAGGAACUCGGCAAAAUGACCCCGUAACUUAGGGAUAAGGGGUGCCACCAUCAGGUGGCCGCAGAGAAUAGGCCCAAGCGACUGUUUACCAAAAACAUAGGUUUCUGCUAAGUCGCAAGACGAUGUAUAGGAGCUGACGCCUGCCCGGUGCUGGAAGGUUAAGGGGAUCUGUUAGAGCAAUCGAAGCAGUGAACUUAAGCCCCAGUAAACGGCGGCCGUAACUAUAACGGUCCUAAGGUAGCGAAAUUCCUUGUCGGGUAAGUUCCGACCCGCACGAAAGGCGUAACGAUUUGGGCACUGUCUCAACAACAGACUCGGUGAAAUUGUAAUUCCGGUGAAGAUGCCGGAUACCUGCGACAGGACGGAAAGACCCCAUGGAGCUUUACUGUAGCUUGACAUUGGGUCUUGGUACUACAUGUACAGGAUAGGUGGGAGGCUUUGAAACCAGGACGCCAGUUUUGGCGGAGCCAUCCUUGGGAUACCACCCUUGUAGUACUGGGACUCUAACCAUAGGCCAUGAAUCUGGUCUUGGGACACUGUCAGGUGGGCAGUUUGACUGGGGCGGUCGCCUCCCAAAAGGUAACGGAGGCGCUCAAAGGUUCUCUCAGUACGGUCGGAAAUCGUACGUAGAGUGUAAAGGCAAAAGAGAGCUUGAUUGCAAGACAUACAGGUCGAGCAAGGAUGAAAAUCGGACUUAGUGAUCCGGUGGUUCUGCGUGGAAGGGCCAUCGCUCAACGGAUAAAAGCUACCCUGGGGAUAACAGGCUUAUCUCCCCCAAGAGUCCACAUCGACGGGGAGGUUUGGCACCUCGAUGUCGGCUCAUCACAUCCUGGGGCUGUAGUAGGUCCCAAGGGUUGGGCUGUUCGCCCAUUAAAGUGGUACGCGAGCUGGGUUCAGAACGUCGUGAGACAGUUCGGUCCCUAUCCGUCGCAGGCGUAGGAAAUUUGAGAAGACCUGUCCUUAGUACGAGAGGACCGGGAUGGACGUACCUCUGGUGUACCAGUUGUCCUGCCAAGGGCAUGGCUGGGUAGCUAUGUACGGAAUGGAUAAGCGCUGAAAGCAUCUAAGCGCGAAGCCAACUUCAAGAUAAGAUUUCCCACCGCAAGGGUAAGACCCCAGAAAGACUAUCUGGUUGAUAGGUCGAAGGUGUAAGUGCAGCAAUGUAUUUAGCUUAUCGAUACUAAUAGGUCGAGGACUUGACCAA
rnacentral:rRNA from 6 species